UAGUCUGCUAAAUAGUUGGGCUCACUUUGGUGGGUUAUAACUUCUUAGAGAGACUUCUUACGCAUAGUGAGAGGAAGUUUGAGGCAAUAACAGGUCUGUGAUGCCCUUAGAUGUUCUGGACCGCACGCGCGCUACAAUGAUGAAGGCAGCAAGUAAUUCACCUUGGCCGGAAGGUCUGGGUAAUCUUGUGAAACUUUGUCGUGUUGGGGAUCGUCCCUUGUAAUUAUUGGACGUGAACGAGGAAUUCCUAGUAAGCGCAAGUCAUCAGCUUGCGUUGAUUACGUCCCUGCCCUUUGUACACACCGCCCGUCGCU
rnacentral:rRNA from 1 species